GACGAACCGUGCGAACGUUGUUCGGAAUCACUGGGCUUAAAGGGCGCGUAGGCGGAUUGCCGCGUCCGGGGUGAAAUCCUCCGGCUCAACCGGAGAAGGGCCUCGGAUACGGGCGGUCUCGAGGGAGGUAGGGGCAUCGGGAACUGUGAGUGGAGCGGUGAAAUGCGUUGAUAUUCACAGGAACUCCGGUGGCGAAGGCGCGGUGCUGGACCUCAUCUGACGCUGAGGCGCGAAAGCCAGGGGAGCGAACGGG
rnacentral:rRNA from 1 species